ensembl:lncRNA
UUAGGCUAGCUAUAAAAUUGUCCCUGUGGCCCCUCAGGGGUGUGGAAUGCAGCUGCAAAUGCUUCUGGAUUGCUGACCACCUGAUCUGGAUCCCACCCUGUGAGUAUAUAUGGUUAUAACAGGGCUUCCCUGGUGGCUCACACAGUGAAUAAUCUGCCUGCAAUGCAGGAGACCCGGGUUUGAUCCCUGGGUCGGGAAGAUCCCCUGGAAAAGGGAAUGGCAACCCAGUAUUGUUGCUUGGAGACUUCCAUGGGCAGAGAAGCCUGGCAGGGGUCACAAGAGUCGGACACGACUGAGUGACUAUCAGUUUCACUUCCUUUCACUAUGGUUAUAAGUGCUAACAUUGAUCAGUCCAUUCCAUGUGCCAGGGACUAUGCUAGACCCUCAUUUAAUCUGCACAUCAACCUGAUGAGGUGAGUAUCAUCAUUGUGCUCAUCUUACAGAUGAGAGAAUGGAGGUUUCAAGAUCAGUCUGCUCAAAAUCUCAUACUUAGGGAUGGGAAGAGGUAGAAGUCAUUUGAGAUCUUUCUUAUUCCCAAGCUUUCAGCCAGUCCAGGGACUGGAAAGACCCAGCAGCAAAGAUUUCAUCAUGAGAGGGUCAAGCCCUCUGGCUGUGACUCAGAUUUGGCUUUGGGGGACUAAAGGUCUGACUCCUAUGGAAAGACAGGGGCUGAGAAACUUAUAUCCUCUAAAAACAAAAACAAAACAAAGCUUGUUCUUUGGGGGAGUUCUUUAAACGUAAUACAAAGGGGAGAAAAGAAUUCUUCGUGGUAAUCUGAAAGGCUCUGGGAAUUGAUGGCUGUGCCUGGGGCUCUAGUGCUGCCACCUUGUGGAGAAGAUGGUGUAGGACACAGCGUUCAACAAAACCAGCCCUGAAAAGACUGUUCCUGGGAUGGGGAAGAAAUAUUUAACAUUUAGAGACAAAUUUGCAAGAAAUGGGAAGUCGUUUUUUAAAAUAUGUAUUUUUAUUUGUUUAUUUGGCUGUGCCAGGAGUGUUGCAGCACUCAGGAGCUUCGAUUUUCCUUGCGGCAUGUGAACUCUUAGCCGUGGCAUGCGGGAUCUUACUUCCACAACCAGGGGCUGAACCCAUGCCCUCUGCAGUGGACGCUCGGAGUCUUAACCACUGAAUCACCAGAGAAGUCCCUGUAAAUAAAGGUUUUGAUUUACACGACUUUGCCCGAGGAAUCCCACUACCCAGACACAGGUCAGACAGACUUUUAAAUCUUUUCCACCUUGAGACCUGCAUCCGUAACUGAAGGUCAUCUGAGGCUGUGUGAGAGGGCCCAGGGCAUCAAUAAGGAGUCCCCACGUUCUAAGCCCGACUCUGCUCAGAAAAGCGUGGUGUCUUUAGGUGCUUAAUUCCCCUGACCCUCUUUUUUUUUUUUUUUUUUUUAACUUGAAUUGGGAAAACCUAAAGAUGAGAGUCCACUCUGUGUCCCAUUGUCCUUGCAUGGCCCAACAAAUAUUUAUUUACCAAACAGUUUCUUUUGCAUCUUCAUAUGAAGUUCCUUCCUUCUCUCUGAAGUGCUGAACCACUCCCCCAACGUCUUCUUUUGUCUUUAACCAAAGGUGGUAUUUAACGUGAAGGUUUUAGCCAUUAAGGAGAAUUAGUUUUCCUGAGUCUCUCCCAUGUGUAUGUUGGGGAGGGGGAAAUUUCCUACUUACUCCUGUUGAGUUCUUGUGGCUGGAAUAAUAAUAAAAUUGAUCCAAGACAGAUUAACAGGAGAAACAAACUUAAGUUCAUUCACACAGAGGUUCAUGGAAAUGGGACCUAAGAAGCAGCCAAAGCAGGCAGCUUUUAUACUUCUUAGACAAAGGAACUGUAAGCUUGUGAGGAAGUGGCAGGAAAAGAAACCGGUCUUGGGUGCCCAAUUAGUGAAGAAUUGAAACAGAAUGUGGGCUUGAGGUAGUAAAUGAAAGAAGGAACACGGUUUGUUUACAGAGGCUUCUUGGCUCUGAAUUCCCCUUCUCUGGGGAUAAGGGCAUCCUUCUACCUGCAGAGGCUUCCCUGGUGGUGCGGUGGUAAAG